CGAGAUGAGAUUUCCCAUUACGCAAGUAAGUAAGAUCCCUCAAAGAUGAUGAGGUGGAUAGGUCUGGUGUGGAAGCAUGGCGACAUGUGGAGCUGACAGAUACUAAUCGAUCGAGGACUUUCCCAAAA
rnacentral:rRNA from 1 species